rnacentral:rRNA from 1 species
GACAGAGGGUGCAAACGUUGUUCGGAAUUACUGGGCGUAAAGCGCGUGUAGGCGGCUAAGUAAGUCGGGCGUGAAAUCCCACGGCUCAACCGUGGAAGUGCACUCGAAACUGCAUAGCUAGAGUCCUGGAGAGGAAGGUGGAAUGCUUGGUGUAGAGGUGAAAUUCGUAGAUAUCAAGCGGAACACCGAUGGCGAAGGCAGAUCUCUGGGCCGUAACUGACGCUGAGGAGCGAAAGCGUGGGGAGCGAACAGG